rnacentral:rRNA from 1 species
UACGAACUGUGCAAACGUUAUUCAGAAUCACUGGGCUUAAAGGGUGCGUAGGCGGCUAUCUAAGCAGGGUGUGAAAGCCCCCGGCUCAACCGGGGAAUUGCGUUCUGAACUGGAUGGCUGGAGUGAGAUAGGGGUGUGUGGAACUUCCAGUGGAGCGGUGAAAUGUGUUGAUAUUGGAAGGAACGCCAGUGGCGAAAGCGACACACUGGGUCUCAACUGACGCUGAGGCACGAAAGCCAGGGGAGCGAACGGG